CCCUUAGAUGUUCUGGGCCGCACGCGUGCUACACUGAGUGGAUCAGCGGGUCAGGUUGCGCGAAAGUGUUUCCUAAUCUUUAAAUCCGCUCGUGAUGGGGAUUGACGGUUGCAAUUUUCCGUCAUGAACGAGGAAUACCUUGUAAGCGCGGGUCAUCAUCCCGCGCUGAAUACGUCCCUGCCCUUUGUACACACCGCCCGUCGCUCCUACCGAUUGAGUGGUCCGGUGAGGCUUUGGGAUCUGAGCGGAAAGAGCGUUUCGCUGUUUCUGCCCGGAAAACUCAGUCGAACCUUUCAUUUAGAGGAAGGAGAAGUCGUAACA
rnacentral:rRNA from 1 species